UACGGAGGGUGCAAGCGUUAUCCGGAAUCACUGGGUUUAAAGGGUGCGUAGGCGGUUAAAUAAGUCCGUUGUGAAAGCCACCAGCUUAACUGGGAGAACUGCGAUGGAUACUGUAUAACUUGAAUCAGGUUGAGGCAGGCGGAAUGCGACAUGUAGCGGUGAAAUGCAUAGAUAUGUCGUGGAACACCGAUUGCGAAGGCAGCUUACUAGACCUUGAUUGACGCUGAGGCACGAAAGCGUGGGGAGCAAACAGG
rnacentral:rRNA from 1 species